GUCUACGGCCAUACCACCCUGAACGCACCCGAUCUUGUCUGAUCUCGGAAGCUAAGCAGGGUCGGACCUGGUUAGUACUUGGAUGGGAGGAUACAGGAGUCCAAUGACC
rnacentral:rRNA from 1 species